UGGGGAAUAUUGCGCAAUGGGGGGAACCCUGACGCAGCCAUGCCGCGUGAAUGAAGAAGGCCUUAGGGUUGUAAAGUUCUUUCGGUAUUGAGGAAGGUUGAUGUGUUAAUAGCACAUCAAAUUGACGUUAAAUACAGAAGAAGCACCGGCUAACUCCGUGCCAGCAGUCGCGGUAAUACGGAGGGUGCGAGCGUUAAUCGGAAUAACUGGGCGUAAAGGGCACGCAGGCGGUUAUUUAAGUGAGGUGUGAAAGCCCCGGGCUUAACCUGGGAAUUGCAUUUCAGACUGGGUAACUAGAGUACUUUAGGGAGGGGUAGAAUUCCACGUGUAGCGGUGAAAUGCGUAGAGAUGUGGAGGAAUACCGAAGGCGAAGGCAGCCCCUUGGGAAUGUACUGACGCUCAUGUGCGAAAGCGUGGGGAGCAAACAGGAUUAGAUACCCUGGUAGUCCACGCUGUAAACGCUGUCGAUUUGGGGGUUGGGGUUUAACUCUGGCGCCCGUAGCUAACGUGAUAAAUCGACCGCCUGGGGAGUACGGCCGCAAGGUU
rnacentral:rRNA from 1 species